UCGAUCUCACGCGACGACGGGUAGCCGGCCUGAGAGGGCGACCGGCCACACUGGGACUGAGACACGGCCCAGACUCCUACGGGAGGCAGCAGUGGGGAAUAUUGCACAAUGGGCGAAAGCCUGAUGCAGCGACGCCGCGUGAGGGAUGACGGCCUUCGGGUUGUAAACCUCUUUCAGCAGGGAAGAAGCGAAAGUGACGGUACCUGCAGAAGAAGCGCCGGCUAACUACGUGCCAGCAGCCGCGGUAAUACGUAGGGCGCAAGCGUUGUCCGGAAUUAUUGGGCGUAAAGAGCUCGUAGGCGGCUUGUCACGUCGGAUGUGAAAGCCCGGGGCUUAACCCCGGGUCUGCAUUCGAUACGGGCUAGCUAGAGUGUGGUAGGGGAGAUCGGAAUUCCUGGUGUAGCGGUGAAAUGCGCAGAUAUCAGGAGGAACACCGGUGGCGAAGGCGGAUCUCUGGGCCAUUACUGACGCUGAGGAGCGAAAGCGUGGGGAGCGAACAGGAUUAGAUACCCUGGUAGUCCACGCCGUAAACGUUGGGAACUAGGUGUUGGCGACAUUCCACGUCGUCGGUGCCGCAGCUAACGCAUUAAGUUCCCCGCCUGGGGGAGUACGGA
rnacentral:rRNA from 1 species